GAUCGAACGGCGUAGCGACAGGCUUAACACAUGCAAGUCGAGGGGCGAUCAUGAGGUAGCAAUACCUUGAUGGCGACCGGCGCACGGGUGAGUAACGCGUAUGCAACCUGCCCGAUACCGGGGUAUAGCCCAUGGAAACGUGGAUUAACACCCCAUAGUACUUUUAUCCUGCAUGGGAUGUGAGUUAAAUGUUCAAGGUAUCGGAUGGGCAUGCGUCCUAUUAGUUAGUUGGCGGGGUAACAGCCCACCAAGACGAUGAUAGGUAGGGGUUCUGAGAGGAAGGUCCCCCACAUUGGAACUGAGACACGGUCCAA
rnacentral:rRNA from 1 species